rnacentral:rRNA from 1 species
AUUGAACGCUGGCGGCAGGCCUAACACAUGCAAGUCGAACGGUAACAGGAAGCAGCUUGCUGCUUUGCUGACGAGUGGCGGACGGGUGAGUAAUGUCUGGGAAACUGCCUGAUGGAGGGGGAUAACUACUGGAAACGGUAGCUAAUACCGCAUAACGUCGCAAGACCAAAGAGGGGGACCUUAGGGCCUCUUGCCAUCGGAUGUGCCCAGAUGGGAUUAGCUAGUAGGUGGGGUAACGGCUCACCUAGGCGACGAUCCCUAGCUGGUCUGAGAGGAUGACCAGCCACACUGGAACUGAGACACGGUCCAGACUCCUACGGGAGGCAGCAGUGGGGAAUAUUGCACAAAGGGCGCAAGCCUGAUGCAGCCAUGCCGCGUGUAUGAAGAAGGCCUUCGGGUUGUAAAGUACUUUCAGCGGGGAGGAAGGGAGUAAAGUUAAUACCUUUGCUCAUUGACGUUACCCGCAGAAGAAGCACCGGCUAACUCUGUG